rnacentral:rRNA from 1 species
GAUCAUGGCUCAGGAUGAACGCUGGCGGCAUGCCUAAUACAUGCAAGUCGAACGGACCGAAGGGAAAGCUUGCUUUUCCUGAAGUCAGUGGCGAACGGGUGAGUAACACGUAGGUAACCUGCCCAUGUGCCCGGGACAACGCCUGGAAACGGGUGCUAAAACCGGAUAGGUAGAGAGAUCGCAUGAACUUUCUAUUAAAGGGGCUACGGCCCUGAACAUGGAUGGACCUGCGGUGCAUUAGCUAGUUGG